rnacentral:rRNA from 1 species
AGUGAACGCUGGCGGUAGGCCUAACACAUGCAAGUCGAACGGCAGCACAGUAAGAGCUUGCUCUUACGGGUGGCGAGUGGCGGACGGGUGAGGAAUACAUCGGAAUCUACUUUUUCGUGGGGGAUAACGGAGGGAAACUUCCGCUAAUACCGCAUACGACAUACGGGUGAAAGCAGGGGAUCUUCGGACCUUGCGCGAUUGAAUGAGCCGAUGUCGGAUUAGCUAGUUGGCGGGGUAAAGGCCCACCAAGGCGACGAUCCGUAGCUGGUCUGAGAGGAUGAUCAGCCACACUGGAACUGAGACACGGUCCAGACUCCUACGGGAGGCAGCAGUGGGGAAUAUUGGACAAUGGGCGCAAGCCUGAUCCAGCCAUGCCGCGUGGGGGAAGAAGGCCUUCGGGUUGUAAAGCCCUUUUGUUGGGAAAGAAAAGCAGCAGGUUAAUACCCCGCUGUUCUGACGGUACCCAAAGAAUAAGCACCGGCUAACUUCGUG